rnacentral:lncRNA from 1 species
UUCAAUGUGUGAGUGCUUUUGGAACACGUUGAUGUGCUUUGGUACGUGCUUUGGUGGUGGCUAAGCUACUAUAUAUCAAUUCAAUCCGCCACUCUCGCCGGCCACCACCACCACCACCAAUCUGGCCGGCCGGAAAUAAGUACCAUCGAUGUAUGUACUGCGUUCUUCGAUGAGGGAGUGGAUUAUGUUUUAACUUUUAUUCAUAUAUGCUGUGAGACGUACGUACGUGUGAUUUUAUUGUGUUGUUUUCUGUUGACAUUCAUCAAUAUCUGGUUUGAUGAUUUGUAAACCCAUUGAUUAUAAUUGGUGAUUUGAUGAAUCCAAUUAAUGUAACAUAUCUGCU